AGCGAACGUUUGCGGCGGGCUUAACACAUGCAAGUCGAACGGGCUGUUCCUUCGGGGGCAGUCAGUGGCGCACGGGUGCGUAACACGUAGGUAAUCAACCCUCUGGUUGGGGAUAACACUUCGAAAGGAGUGCUAAUACCCGGUAUGGCGCAGCGGUCUUCGGACCGCGGCGAGAAAGACCCGCAAGGGUUGCCAGAGGACGAGCCUGCGGCCCAUCAGCUAGUUGGCGAGGUAACGGCUCACCAAGGCGAAGACGGGUAGCUGGUCUGAGAGGAUGAUCAGCCACACUGGAACUGAGACACGGUCCAGACUCCUACGGGAGGCAGCAGUGGGGAAUAUUGCGCAAUGGGCGAAAGCCUGACGCAGCCACGCCGCGUGAGCGAUGAAGGCCUGUCGUAAGACUCUGUGGGUAGGAGGAAGAAGUAAAGAACGUACGU
rnacentral:rRNA from 1 species